rnacentral:rRNA from 1 species
GCUCAGAUUGAACGCUGGCGGCGUGCUUAACACAUGCAAGUCGAGCGAGAAAGCUCUCUUCGGAGAGUGAGUAGAGCGGCGCACGGGUGAGUAGCGCGUGGAUAAUCUGCCCUGAAGAUCGGGAUAACAGUUGGAAACGACUGCUAAUACCGGAUACCCUGCAUAUUUAACUUUAUGUGGUAAAGGUGGCCUCUAUUUAUAAGCUACCGCUUUGGGAUGAGUCCGCGUCUCAUUAGCUUGUUGGUGGGGUAAUGGCCUACCAAGGCAACGAUGAGUAGCUGGUCUGAGAGGAUGAUCAGCCACACUGGGACUGAAACACGGCCCAGACUCCUACGGGAGGCAGCAGUGGGGAAUAUUGCGCAAUGGGGGAAACCCUGACGCAGCGACGCCGCGUGCGGGAAGAAGGCCUUCGGGUCGUAAACCGCUGUCAGGAGGGAAGAAACUGUUGGGGUAUAAUACGCCCUUUCACUGACGGUACCUCCAAAGGAAGCACCGGCUAACUCCGUGCCAGCAGCCGCGGUAAUACGGAGGGUGCGAGCGUUAAUCGGAAUCACUGGGCGUAAAGCGCACGUAGGCGGCGCAUCAAGUCAGACGUGAAAGCCCUCGGCUCAACCGAGGAAUUGCGUUUGAAACUGGUGUGCUGGAGUCUCGGAGAGGUUGGCGGAAUUCCAGGUGUAGGAGUGAAAUCCGUAGAUAUCUGGAGGAACACCGGUGGCGAAGGCGGCCAACUGGACGAGUACUGACGCUGAGGUGCGAAAGCGUGGGGAGCAAACAGGAUUAGAUACCCUGGUAGUCCACGCUGUAAACGAUGGAUAUUAGGUGUCGGGGGUUACCUUCGGUGCCGCAGU